rnacentral:rRNA from 1 species
CACGUAGGGCGCAAGCGUUGUCCGGAAUUAUUGGGCGUAAAGGGCUCGUAGGCGGUCUGUUGCGUCGGGAGUGAAAACUUACAGCUUAACUGUGAGCGUGCUUCCGAUACGGGCAGACUUGAGGUAUUCAGGGGAGAACGGAAUUCCUGGUGUAGCGGUGAAAUGCGCAGAUAUCAGGAGGAACACCGGUGGCGAAGGCGGUUCUCUGGGAAUAUCCUGACGCUGAGGAGCGAAAGUGUGGGGAGCGAACAGG